GAUGAACGCUGGCGGCGUGCUUAACACAUGCAAGUCGAACGAAGCACUCUAUUUGAUUUUCUUCGGAAAUGAAGAUUUUGUGACUGAGUGGCGGACGGGUGAGUAACGCGUGGGUAACCUGCCUCAUACAGGGGGAUAACAGUUGGAAACGACUGCUAAUACCGCAUAAGCGCACAGGAUCGCAUGAUCCGGUGUGAAAAACUCCGGUGGUAUGAGAUGGACCCGCGUCUGAUUAGCCAGUUGGCAGGGUAACGGCCUACCAAAGCGACGAUCAGUAGCCGACCUGAGAGGGUGACCGGCCACAUUGGGACUGAGACACGGCCCAAACUCCUACGGGAGGCAGCAGUGGGGAAUAUUGCACAAUGGGGGAAACCCUGAUGCAGCGACGCCGCGUGAGCGAAGAAGUAUUUCGGUAUGUAAAGCUCUAUCAGCAGGGAAGAAGAAUGACGGUACCUGACUAAGAAGCACCGGCUA
rnacentral:rRNA from 1 species